rnacentral:rRNA from 1 species
CAGCCGCCGCGGUAAUACCGGCAGCCCGAGUGGCGGCUACUAUUAUUGGGCCUAAAGCGUCCGUAGCCGGGCUGGUAAGUCCUCCGGGAAAUCUGGUCGCUUAACGAUCAGACUUCCGGAGGAUACUGCUGGCCUAGGGACCGGGAGAGGCCGAGGGUAUUCCCGGGGUAGGGGUGAAAUCCUGUAAUCCCGGGAGGACCACCUGUGGCGAAGGCGCUCGGCUGGAACGGGUCCGACGGUGAGGGACGAAGGCCAGGGGAGCGAACCGGAUUAGAUACCCGGGUAGUCCUGGCUGUAAACGAUGCGGACUAGGUGUCGGGCAAGCUAAGGGCUUGUCCGGUGCCGCAGGGAAGCCGUUAAGUCCGCCGCCUGGGGAGUACGGCCGCAAGGCUGAAACUUAAAGGAAUUGGCGGG